AAUAUUGGAUGAUGGGCGCUAGCCACUUCCAGCAAUGCGCCGAGUCUGAAGAAGGCCAAGGCGUUUAAAGCACUUUUAUCGGCAAAGAAAUGCCUAAGGCUAAUACCCUGACGUCUUUUCGGUACCCGUUGAAUAAGCACCGGCUAACUCCGUGCCAGCAGCCGCAGUAAUACGGAGGGUGCAAGCCUUAAUCGGAAUUAUUGGGCGUAAAGCGAGUGUAGGCGGGUUCGUAAGUCGGAUCUGAAAGCCCCGGGCUUAACUUGGGAAUUGCAUUCGAUAUUGUGCGACAGAGUUUGGUAGAGGAAAGUGGAAUUCCAGGUGUAGCGGUGAAAUGCGUAGAUAUCUAGAGGAACAUCAGUGGGGAAGGCGGCUUUCUGGAUCAAAGCUGACGCUGAGGCUCGAAAGCAUGGGGAGCAAACAGGCUUAGAUACCCUGGUAGUCCACGCCUUC
rnacentral:rRNA from 1 species